GGAGGAAAAGAAACCAACAGGGAUUGCCUCAGUAGCGGCGAGUGAAGCGGCAAGAGCUCAGAUUUGAAAUCUCACCUAGUGUGCGAGUUGUAAAUUGCAGGUUGGAGUCUCGGGUUAGACGUGUGUGCAAGUCCCUUGGAACAGGGUGCCACUGAGGGUGAGAGCCCCGUAGCGUGCAUGUCGACACCUGUGAGGCCCUUCUGACGAGUCGAGUUGUUUGGGAAUGCAGCUCUAAGUGGGUGGUAAAUUCCAUCUAAGGCUAAAUAUUGGCGAGAGACCGAUAGCGAACAAGUACUGUGAAGGAAAGAUGAAAAGCACUUUGAAAAGAGAGUGAAACAGCACGUGAAAUUGUUGAAAGGGAAGGGUAUUGGGCUCGACAUGGGAUUUACGCAUCGUUGCCUCUCGUGGGCGGCGCUCUGGGUUUUUCCUGGGCCAGCAUCGGUUUUCGUUGCAGGAUAAGGACAAUUGGAAUGUGGCUCCUCGGAGUGUUAUAGCCUUUUGUAGAUGCUGCGUAUGGGGACCGAGGGCUGCGGCGGACUCGUUUCGUCUCGGAUGCUGGCACAACGGCGCAAUACCGCCCGUCUU
rnacentral:rRNA from 1 species